GUGUCCAUAGCUUAGUGGUGGAGCAUUUGACUGCAAAUCAAGGUGUCACCGGUUCAAGUCCGGUUGGGCCCU